rnacentral:rRNA from 1 species
UAAGGGGGAGCGGCCCCGGGUGCGCCCGCGACUCUGUCCGCCGGGUAGGCCGGGCCAAGGUGGGGUGGCGGUGGCAGGCUAGGUUAUGGGGUGGCGCAGGGGCGGCAGGCGCGCGGGCUGCCGCCCCUAGGCGCGUAGCGCGGACGGCCUCGCGAAGCGUCCCGCUGUGAAACGGGCGGUUCGGCUCACCGCGCCGGGCCUUCGUCCGCCCCCGUCCUCCCAGUAGAGUGGCCCGCCUCGGUGCGCCCCCGUACCCGCACUAUCCGAUCGCGACCACCACAUCUCAUCCCGCGAUGCGGGAGACAAAUUCUUCCUUGGGUCCCGCCGACGCCCUCCUCCUCUUUUUUGGUCGUCUCGUGGUGCCCUAAGCGGACGGGCGGACCUAGUUUGGGUUGGGUUGGGUUUGGGUCUCCCUAAAGCGGCGCCGGAGGCGCCCCAGCUAGGCUAGGCCAGGCGGCGCGCACGCCGCCGCCGCCGCGCUCCAAGCCCUAGCCAGCCCAACCGCCGGCCCAACCACUCCCGCCUCAACCCCCAAGCUUAACCCGACGACGCCACGCCCAAACCCCCGCCCCCGCCGACGCAGCCCUAAGCGCCUCCAGCAACGCGACGCGACGCGGCGCGCCGCCACGCCCAAACACCUCCCGGAGCGCGGUAACGUAGCCCCCCAGCACCGGGCGGCGGCGACCUCCGUCCAGCCAGGCUUAACCCGCCGUCCUCCUAAGCCCCGCGCAGGCACCCGCGGAUCUAGCCCCUAAGGUCGACCGAGGGGGCCCGCGGUACCGGCGACUGAGGUCGUACCCCAAGGUGGUCCCCUAGCGGCGGCGGCGGAGCCAGAUGUUGGUGGUAGUGGUAGUGGUGGGGUUGUUGUACGAGAGGAAGGUCAGGAGGUGGUCGCUGCAGUGGUACCCGCCGUCGUGGCGGCCCUACCCCGAGCAGUCGUACUCGCCGCCCGGCUCGUCGUGGCGGCCGGACAUGGUGAGAAGAGGUUUGUUGGUGUCGUCGUCGUUGUCGUUGUUGUUGCCGCCACACAAACCGUUGCACGGCCACCAGGAGGUCAGCUCCUCGCGCGGCCCCCCGCGCAGGGCGCCGCCGCCGCCGUGGUGGCGCAGGUUCAUGUUCAAGCAGUGGCCGAGCGGAAGGCUCACCUCGCUGGCACUCGACUUAUAUGACUUGCUUCCCGAGUGGUCUAUACGAGCACUUGGAUUAUAGUACUCCAUGUAGUUCUAUCGCCGAUACGACGGGUUGUCUUGGUAGUCCCUACAACGUAACGCUACGACCACCCGACGUCCAUUUCUAUCUUCCUUCUUUGGUCUUCCAAAAAAAUGUCCCUUUUUCUACUCUCUAUACUUCGGUUACGUCCUGUUUUACAAACGUAGACGGGGCUACCGAUUAAAAGUGUACCGCGGAUGGUUGUUGAACUGGGGAAAGAGUUAUAGCUACCUUUUAGGUUUGGUCGUCACAGUUCAAGGGUUCCUUCGAGGACAACACCUGUCACGUUGGGUCGUCGAGGACCUCCUUUUGUUAGUUAACGAAUUGGUCUAACGACGUUUAUAACUUUGUAAGUUCUGUCCCCUCUUGUACCUAGAGAAAGAAGCCUGUUUAUCGUUGUAGUUUUGUUAAAAUUCGUCUUACUCGCUCUGCGGACCGUAGUACCCAGUCUACGGAGGAGACGUUCUUAAUCGUGUGCUUCUGUUCGAAUUAAGUGAAGAAGUUCAACUGUCUUACCAGGUUAGAAUGUCGCGUCGUGUGUGGAGUGUAUACUUCCUUCUCGGAGCUUCGAUUACACACCGUACGCGGCUUUCUUCUUCCCUGUCUAUCUGCCGAAGUCGAAGAAAGGGAGCCUAGGGGUGGCCACGACGAUCCUUAGGGAUGUCCGACAAUAUGACUGACUGCCUCGCGGUCCUUAUCAACGGCAUGUAGGAACUCUAGUAAGGGACGGGAAGGUCGACUUCGAGCCCUUUCGCACAAACCUUCCUCGCCUAAGACGUCAAAACGUCCCAUACGCUCGCCCCCAAUGACGGGAAGGAGGGUAGUUGGUGUUGUGGUGGUUGGUCUAUGAACUAAGCCCUGAUGUCGCUUCACUGACAUUUAUAACCUACCGGCCUCCGUAAAGGCACAAAACAAAAGGGGUUAACCAGCACUUAUGUAAAAAGCUUUCCCGAUGGCACGCAAACGUAAAAAAAUGAACAAGGUCAAACAUGGGACAUGUCAUUACUCGGAACGGGACUAUGUGCGACACGGCACAACCAUUUUCGUUUCGUCGCUCCCCGCAAGGAAAAGUUCCCCAUAGGAUCAAAACGUAUUUACGGGAGGAGAUCAAAUCCGAAGAUCGAUAAACCCAGUAACGAGUUGUCGAUUUCUCUCUUCCUACUCUUGUCUUUUACAUCCUCACUGCACUGACUUAAUAGUUUGAUAACUGUUCUCAACGUGAUAAAAGAGAAGAUCAUUAAGAGUUCACAGUAGAAAUAAGGUACCG